rnacentral:misc_RNA from 1 species
UGGAUCUUCUAGCCCAAAGGUCCAAA